CACAAAACAGAACUAAACACUCUUUUAUGCUCUCCAUUUAUUUCCAACGCACAGAGUCGAUUUUCAAACAAAUAUCUCAAUAUACACUCGACUUUAUACUUUUUUUUUCUUUUUUUUUUUUUCUUUCCACAACUUUUCUAGAGCUUAUAAGAGUAAAUAGUAUCAUAAUAUCAUCCCUUCUUUUUCAUGAACCACUAUGAUA
rnacentral:lncRNA from 1 species